GAUGAACGCUGGCGGCGUGCCUAAUACAUGCAAGUCGAGCGAACAGAUGAGGAGCUUGCUCCUCUGACGUUAGCGGCGGACGGGUGAGUAACACGUGGAUAACCUACCUAUAAGACUGGGAUAACUUCGGGAAACCGGAGCUAAUACCGGAUAAUAUAUUGAACCGCAUGGUUCAAUAGUGAAAGACGGUUUUGCUGUCACUUAUAGAUGGAUCCGCGCCGCAUUAGCUAGUUGGUAAGGUAACGGCUUACCAAGGCAACGAUGCGUAGCCGACCUGAGAGGGUGAUCGGCCACACUGGAACUGAGACACGGUCCAGACUCCGACAGGAGGCAGCAGUAGGGAGUCUUCCGCAAUGGGCGAAAGCCUGACGGAGCAACGCCGCGGGAGUGAUGAAGGUCUUCGGAUCGUAAAACUCUGUUAUUAGGGAAGAACAAAUGUGUAAGUAACUAUGCACGUCUUGACGGUACCUAAUCAGAAAGCCACGGCUAACUACGUG
rnacentral:rRNA from 1 species